AACACUAGUUGCUGCUCAGAAGUAUUUUUCAAAUUAAUUAGCCAAACACAAUUUGUUUUUCAACCAAAAAUACUUUUGAAAAAAAGUACUUCUCAAAAUAAGUUGAUUUUUGCAGCUUGGCCAAACGGGUUAUUAAAACAAGUAAUUUCUCCAUAUGUUAAGAAUUGAAAAUCAAAGUAUAGCUAUAUAUAGUGCUGGUGAGAAUAGAAAUCUGAAAGCUAACUUCUACAUCAAUUAAUAAUUGUAGUCAUUGAAUUUUGAAUCCGAGAAGAAACCCCAUUUCAAUUUAUUUUCUUACUUCUGUUUCAAGAUUUUUCAAGCUUCGCUGCCUCAAUGCUUCUCGUGUCUCAGUUGUAAAAGAACAUAUCUUAUUUAUGUCUCACCAUAGCACUGUUAGGUUAUAUUCAGAUAUCUAUUAGUUUUUCUCUUUUUUGGUAAUGAUGAUGUCGGGAUCAGUUUAUGCAUACGUCGACUAUUCCACUGGAUGUCAAUUAUCUCUCAUCAGCACAGACCUGUAACUCCGCUUAAGCCGAUGCAAAAAAGUCAGAUACUAGCAUUUUUUGCUCGGCUUGGAUUUGAACUUUAUUGUUUUUUACACUUAUACCAAAGUAAGUGCAAGUUCAGAUGUCCUAGAAAAUUUCAAGAUUAACUUACCUACAUAUAU
rnacentral:lncRNA from 1 species